CAUCUUCUUCAGGAGCAACACCUUCCCAACCAUCGGGGACAUCAGCUCCCCCUUCCCAGCCGGAGAAGCGUCAGACUUCUUCGGCUACUCUCGCGAGGAAGGGAUCCCUUGGGGACCUCCCUUCACAAGUUCCGCCCGGUGGAAAAGCGGACGCCCGCAAGUGUUUGAAACAACCACCAGUCCCUGGUCGCAGGGCCUCACGAUCGUCGUCUGUCCCUGAGACUGACCCUGUGAAGGCCAUGAAGCCUGAACCACCGAAGGCACAGCGCGAGAAGCAGAAAAAGAAGAAAGUCCCCCAGACCAACGCUCCUGCGGUGGCACCCAUCCCACCGCUUCCUACAAGCUCUGCCUCUGAGGACGAGGUGGAGAUUCUGGCGUCCGCUGAGGACCUCGAUCUCGCCGGUCCCUCGGACGCAAUGGAUAGCAUUUCCACGGGUGCUCCAUCGGAGGCAGCAGGUGACCCAGCGGCGUAGUCUGUCUUCCCAGAGCCGUCACGUCUUUCCCAGCCAUGGACAACACCAUCCUCCAGUGGAACUGCAGCGGUUUCUUCCACCAUCUAGCUGAGCUCCGACAACUUAUCAGCCUUCACCCUUUCUUCUGCAUUGCUCUUCAGGAAACUUGGUUUCCAGCAAUGCGAACCCCUGCCCUCCGUGGCUAUCGGGGUUAUUAUAAGAACCGAGCAGCUUAUGAAAGGGUGUCUGGUGGCAUCUGCAUAUAUGUCCUUCACACUCUGCACAGCGAGUCUGUCCCUCUCCAGACACCUUUAGAGGCUGUCGCUGUACGGGUUUGGACGCCACAGGCUGUUACCGUCUGCAGUCUUUACCUUCCACCGGAUGGUGAUGUCUCGCAGCAUGUCCUGGCUGCACUGGUAGCCCAAUUGCCGCCACCUUUCUUGCUAUUGGGCGACUUCAACGCCCAUAACCCUCUGUGGGGUGGGUCAGUGGCAACAGGUCGAGGCGCCAUCGUUGAGCAUUUAUUGUCGCAGCUCGAUCUCUCGCUGUUAAAUGAUGGUGCCUUCACACACUUCAGUAUGGCGCAUGGCACCUACUCCGCCAUUGACCUUUCCAUCUGUAGCCCUAGCCUCUUACUGUCUGUCCAAUGGAGUGUGCAUGACGACCUGUGUGGUAGUGACCACUUUCCGAUCUUUCUGUCACUACCACAGCGUCACUCUUCUGGGCACCCUAGCAGGUGGGCUAUGAAUAAGGCUGACUGGGACUUGUUCUCCUCCACUGCCGCUUUUGAGCCUCUCUCUACUGGUGACAUUGAUGCGGUGGUUCAAUCGGUCACCUCCGGCAUCGUUACUGCCGCCGAAUCUGCCAUUCCCCGUUCUUCUGGGUCCCCUCGGCGGAAGGCUGUGCCUUGGUGGUCGCCUGAGAUUGCUGAAGCGAUUAAAGAUCGCCGGCGGGCGCUCCAGCGUCACAAGCGACAUCCCUCCAUUGACCACCUUAUCGCCUUCAAACGGCUGCGUGCGUGGGCCCGCCUCCUUAUCCGCCAAGGCAAGAAGGAGUGCUGGGAGCGGUAUGUGUCCACCAUUGCCCUCCAUGUCACUUCUUCGCAGGUCUGGGCCAAGAUUCGACGUGUCUACGGCUAUCGGACCCCUGUCAGCGUCCCUGCGCUCUCACUGAAUGGAGCAGUUUGUACUGACUCCGACGUCAUUGCAAAUCGUUUAGCAGAGCAUUUUGCUAUGAGUUCUGGUUCUGCGAAUUACCCCCAGGCCUUCCGCUCCAUAAAGAGCGGAUGGAACGUCGGAGCCUUUCGUUUCGCACCAACCACCCAGAAUCUUACAAUGCUCCAUUCAGUGAGUGGGAAUUUCGCAGUGCCCUAGCUGCUUGCCCUGAUACCGCUCCUGGGCCAGAUGGCAUCCACUGUCAGAUGCUGAAACACCUUUCAGUGGACUGCCAGCAGCGCCUUCUCGAUCUUUACAACCGUCUUUGGGUCGAGGGGGAGUUUCCGUCGCAAUGGCGGGAAGGCGUUGUCAUCCCCGUUUUGAAACCUGGAAAGCCCCCUCUGGAGGUGGACAGCUACCGUCCCAUUAGCCUCACCAACGUUCUUUGCAAGUUGCUUGAACGGAUGGUGAGCCGGCACUUGCAUUGGGUACUGGAGUCUCGGGGCCUUCUGGCUCCGUCUCAGGGUGGGUUCCGUAAAGGCCGCUCUGCCACCGACAAUCUGGUGAGCCUGGAGUCGGCCAUCCGUACCGCCUUUGCCCGCCGCCAGCACCUGGUCGCUGUCUUUUUCGACAUGUGGAAGGCGUACGAUACGACAUGGCGUCAUCACAUCCUUUCUACGCUUCAUGGAUGGGGUCUUCGGGGUCCUCUGCCGAUUUUUAUCCACAAUUUUCUGUCGUGUCGUACCUUCCGCGUGCAAGUCGCGGCCUCGUAUUUAAGUGUCUGUCUGUUUUUAAUAGCCAUUAACGGGCUUGCUGCGGCCGUGGGAAAUUCUGUCUCCGCUUCCCUGUAUGCUGACGACUUCUGCCUUUAUUACAGCUCUCCUGGCAUUGCAGCUGUUGAACGUCAGCUACAGGGCGCUAUCCGUAAGGCGCAGUCUUGGGCUGUAGCGCAUGGGUUUCAGUUUUCGGCAGCCAAGACCCGGGUUAUGCAUUUCUGCCGGCGCCGAACAGUCCAUCCUGAGCCGCGGCUUUAUCUUGCCGACGAACUCCUUGCUGUGGUGGAGACCCACAGGUUUUUGGGGGUGGUUUUCGAUGCCCGGUUGACUUGGCUGCCUCAUAUUCGGCAGCUCAAACGGGCGUGUUGGUGGCAUCUCAAUGCGCUGCGAUGUUUGAGCCACGCCCGCUGGGGCGCCAACCACUCUACCCUGUUACGGCUCUACCAGGCGUUAAUCCAGUCCCGUCUGGAUUAUGGGUGCCUGGCAUAUGGCUCAGCAUCCCCGUCUGCGUUGCGGGUGCUGGACCCAAUUCUCCACAGCGGGAUACGCCUUGCCACUGGUGCUUUCCGCACCAGCCCUGUGGACAGCUUACUAGUGGAGGCAGGUGUCCUUCCACUGCGGUUCCGACGCCAAAAAUUACUGGCUGCUUAUGCUGCCCAUGUUUGUAGCUUGCCCGGUCAUCCAAAUUACCGUGUGCUGUUCCCGCAGUCGGUCGUCCAUCUGCCAGAGCGUCGGCCCCGGUCGGGUUGUCCGAUCGCCGUACGCGUUAAGGAGCUUCUCUCCAGGCUAGGAUUUUUCCCUGUUCCACCUCCUUUCCGGGCGCCUCUGCGUACACCCCCGUGGUGUGUUCCUCGCCCUUGCCUUCGGCUCGACUUGGCACAGGGCUCGAAGGACUCGGUCCCUCCAGAGGCAUUCCGCCGCCGCUUUUAUUCCAUCCUGGCCACGUAUCAGGGCUCUGGAAUUGUUUACACCGACGGUUCGAUGGUUGCUGGUUGUGUCGGGUAUGCGCUAACUCUAGGGGACCAUUCCGAACAACGGUCCUUGGCGGCUGGCUGCAGCGUUUACACUGCUGAGCUAGUCGCCAUCUUUCGAGCCCUAGAGUAUAUCCGCUCCUGCUCAGGUGAGUCCUUCGUUAUCUGUAGCGAUUCCCUGAGCGGUUUACGAGCUCUCGACCAGUGUUUUCCUCGUUCUCGUCUGGUGAUGGCUAUCCAUGAGUCCCUGCAUACUCUUGCGCGUUGCGGCCGCUCUGUGGUCUUUGUGUGGACCCCCGGUCAUGUCGGUAUCCCGGGCAAUGAACAGGUUGACCGCCUGGCGAAAGAGGCCACGAGACAACCGUCUCUGGGUGUUGGCCUCCCCGAGGCUGAUUUGCGGGCAGUCCUCCGCCGAAAAGUUCUUGCGCUUUGGGACACUGAAUGGCGCGAUCGGAUCACGCCAAAUAAACUCCGUGACAUUAAGGAGACGACGACUGUGUGGUGGUCAUCCAUGCGAGCCAACCGCAGGGACUCAGUCGUCCUUUGCCGGCUCCGCAUUGGCCACUCCCGGCUGACACACAGUUAUUUACUGUGCCGGGAGGACCCUCCUCUAUGUCGCUGUGGGGCGGCUUUGACAGUGGCCCACAUUUUGUUGGCCUGCCCCCUUUUAGCUGUGGUCAGGCAGACAUUUGCACUGGCUGCUACACUCCCUGCCCUUUUAACAGUCGACUCCACUAUGGCUGACUUAGUUUUACGUUUUAUUCGGGCAGGGGGAUUUUAUCAUUUAAUCUGAGUGUUUCAGUUUUAUUUUAUUGUUUUGUGUUGAUUCUGGCCUUUGGCCUAUGAUUUUAAACUGAAUUUUUAAUGUGUUUCUAAGUGGUUGGCUUUUCCUUUUUUAUUUCUAUGGUCGGCCAACCACCGUCACACUCUGUGUGGUUUUAGUUCGUUUUGUCUUGUCUUUGUCUCAGUUUUUCUUGUUCUGUAUCGUCUGUGAUCUCUUCUGUUCCUCGUUUUUAUUCUCUUUGGGUGUUCUUUGUAUUUGGAACAAGGGACCGAUGACCGUAGCAGUCUGGUCCCUUUAAUCCCCCAAACCAACCAACCUUUGUGCAUCUACACACUGUCAUAAGGUUGUACACAGAACUGGGGCUCACCCGAAAAGACAGCAUGGUGCAACUUCCAGCACCUCUCUCGACUGCAGCACCAAGGGAAGCCGCAACAGUAGUUGCCACUGUGAGGCAGUGACGAGUGCUCUAGACAACACCACAGUAUGCAUAUGGAAAUGUGUCUUGCUGCUAACAAGCAGACUCAAGAUAUGUGUGGUGUCUGUAGAAUCUGCCUGGCUUAGUGAGAAAAAUGUCACCUUUGGUGCUACUCAAGGGGAGCCAUUGAGAUCCCGUAUGGCAUUAUAGAUGCCCCUCCUGAACCCAUAGGUUCUAUUUGCAUGAUAUUCUUGGGGUCUUGACAAAUGUAAUCAGCAGCAGUGCGGAAUGAUAAACAACCGUCUCAAUAGGCCACAAUCCACCCAGCGUUCAAUUGCGACACAUGGCGGUAGACGUUUAGCCUCCUUAGACGAGGCAUAACAAGAGCUUCUCACAACCAACCAACAUUAAAAUGUGAUUUCUGGAAGAGGAACAUGGCCAGCAGUGUAUUUGCAAAAAACAAAAAAUCUAUGAAGAAAUUCCAGGAAGAAGAAGCAUUUCAGAGGAUGAAUUUUUUAUACCAGGGAUAUCAGCUUGAAACGCAGCAUUUGCAAGGGAUGUUCGAUACAGCUCAUCCCAGGUGUGACUGCUAAAGUCCGUAUAAAAAAUAGACCAACGCCAUGUGCGCUAUGGACAUGUACCAUCUGCAAUACUU